GUGUAUUUAUUAUAAGUUGUUAAGUUAUAUAUGUUUUGCAUUCAUAAGGUUUUUUACAC
rnacentral:tRNA from 1 species